rnacentral:lncRNA from 1 species
UCUCCUCUCCCUCUCUCUCAACACCCUAUUAUUCUGAAUGCUUGUUAAGAGGAAAAACACCCUUCGGUGCUCGGGUUGUGAACGUGAAGCAUCUCUCAGCUGCACAGUGACACAUUUUUUUUAAGGAGAAAAGGACUCCAGAGCUUUUUGCCAAAUGGGGGAUGGGGGAGUGGAAUGAUGUUACUGAGUGAUUAUUUUGGCUGAGAUGUGUUACUUGGUUUCUUCCUUUUUGAUCAUUUGGUGUUUAAGUAAAAUGAGGCACAGGGCUGUGUGCCUAGUGGACUGAGAAAUGCUUUUUUGAUUUGCCGGCCUAAUUAAAAAAUGAUAAAGGAUUUAAAGGAGAAGCUGGACCUCGAGUGAAGGAAGUGAGAUCCCUGGACACAUUUUUGGGGGCAGGAAAAAGAAGAGGAAAAUUGCAAGG